ACCCCUUCUUCUCCGAUCGACUUUCACUUCCUUCUAUGUGCAAACCCUAAUCAAACAUAACACAUUUGAAAUAGUAAUAUCUUCUUUCAUUUUCUCCCCUACUACUCUCUGUAAAACCUAGCAGCCGCCACCACUAGAAACAUGGAAAAUCCCCCAAAAUUUUGAAGUACCCCGCUCACUCCUCUCAAUAUCUCUUGCGCUUUCGUAUUUAUAGCCAGAGUUGGAGAGCGAAAAGAAGAAAGAAGAAAGAAAUGAUGUGAGGGUGUGAGGUGGCGUUCAAAGGUUGUCAAGGGGCUGUGAGGAGCUAUAGGGCUCAAGUUCGAGGUUGAAGAUUAGAAACCGAAGGUUGAAGAUCAGAUUUGGGAUUAGAUGAGUCGCUGGUACAACUGACGUCGUCGUGGUGUAGGUCAGAUGAGUCGCCGGAGUCCAGGCCAAGUAACAGUGUCGCUGGAGUUUCGGGAAGCUAACGAUGUCAUCAAUUCGAGUGCAAGUGAUGUGCCGAUUAUUGAUUUUGGAUCAAUUACUAACUGUUUGCCAUUUUCUUUCUAGAAAAUCAAUGUAGUGUCUGCUUCUUAAUCUUGUUCUCUAUGAGUACCAUUGUUACCGUCUCUGGUAAAAACAUCUAACCAUAUGCCAGAUUCGUUGAUUCAGGCUACAAAAGUACCUGUUAAAGAGUAUGAGUUUGAUGAAAAGAAGAUGGCAAAUGUGCAGUCUCAUCUGGAAAAAUUGGUUGCCAAUAACUAUUACUUGAACAGGUCUCCAAAAGAUGCGUACAGAUAAAUAUAUUAUUCAUGAAGUGAAGGCAAGAAUAGUUGAAUGGACAAGGGCAGGCUGGUCAAGACUGGAAGCUUUACA